rnacentral:rRNA from 1 species
GAUGAACGCUGGCGGCGUGCCUAAUACAUGCAAGUCGAGCGAGCGGACGAGAAGCUUGCUUCUCUGAUGUUAGCGGCGGACGGGUGAGUAACACGUGGAUAACCUACCUAUAAGACUGGGAUAACUUCGGGAAACCGGAGCUAAUACCGGAUAAUAUUUUGAACCGCAUGGUUCAAAAGUGAAAGACGGUCUUGCUGUCACUUAUAGAUGGAUCCGCGCUGCAUUAGCUAGUUGGUAAGGUAACGGCUUACCAAGGCAACGAUGCAUAGCCGACCUGAGAGGUUGAUCGGCCACACUGGAACUGAGACACGGUCCAGACUCCUACGGGAGGCAGCAGUAGGGAAUCUUCCGCAAUGGGCGAAAGCCUGACGGAGCAACGCCGCGUGAGUGAUGAAGGUCUUCGGAUCGUAAAACUCUGUUAUUAGGGAAGAACAUAUGUGUAAGUAACUGUGCACAUCUUGACGGUACCUAAUCAGAAAGCCACGGCUAACUACGUG